AAUGGAUCUGUGUCCCAUUGUAAGAUGUUUCAUAACUUAUUUAAGCAAUUUCCCAUCUCCAAACAUUCAUCUCAAUCUUUUCUUCCACGCAGCACCGUAAUGAGUGUCUUUGUUCCCGCGUCUCUGUAUACAUUACAGGCUUUUUAAUGCCUGCUUGGUAUGCGACAAGCAUGAUGUGUGCAAUCUCCUACAAACUACAUCCUCUGUUUCCCACGCUUAUCUUGCCUCCUGAGUUGCCACCGUUCUAAAUAGAUUUCUUGAGCCAUGUAUCUUUGUGAGCAUCUCUUUGAGGAUGGGUUUCUACAAGGGAAGUACUGGGGAAACUUACUCUAACUUUAGCUGGUUUGAGCCCAUGUCCUGAAACCUGAGUCAAAGCCACGCUGCUCGAUGCUGUACGUUGUAUGCACUUUAUCUAAAAGGGAGAUGAUCGCGAAAAGGAGCCCAUUGUUCCUUCACAAAGGAUGUGAGCGUAAGCUCUGGUAUUGCAGCUAAGUUGGAAAGGGGCCAAGGGGUUCAUAUAAUCCCGUCAGCAAAAGCAGAAGAUGCAGCCUCUCACAGAACCCGAAACACUCGUUGCUGUCUUGUCUGACCCAAAGGCAACCUCCAUCUCAUCCCCACCCCGAAGACACGAUUGCCCCUCCAGAGUAAUAAAUGUCUGUUGUGCUGAGAAUCUGGUGU